rnacentral:lncRNA from 1 species
CAAUUAGUACCAAGUGUUCCAAAAGAAAUGGUUUAAAGUAGCAAUGGCACCAGUCAUGCAAUAGAUACAAGUCAUCUGAAAAUCAAUUUCCUGAUUUUAAAACUUAAAACCAAAAUCUAGGUUCCCAGUUUGAUGAUUCUUCCAGACAACAAACAAGUUGGUAGAGAAGAUAAUAUUUACCGGUUGGGAUAAGUAGAAAAAAACAAUGAAGCAUCCAUUAGCAGAAGUAAUUAUACAAGUGGUACCUUGGGACUGGUAAAGGAGGCAAGUCCUGCCAUUGCUUGGUUUUGGUGUCAAGAACAAAAUUGCGGGCAGUAGGACCCCGGCACUGGGGACCGUACUGUCCAGUAACAACAUAAAUGUAUCUCCCAUCAGUUACCAUACCCAAGUGUGAAUGAGCCAUUGCUUAAGCUUUUUGGUUUUGGUCCUUAUUGUGUUUGUCCAGUAACAACAUAAAUGUAUCUCCCAUCCGUUACCAUACCCAAGUGUGAAUGAGCCAUUUCUUUGGGCAUAUCAAAUGUUCCUCCCCAUGAGUUGGCGGUGAAAUUGUAAAUAUCGACAUGCGAGUGAACCUGAUAGAAAAAUAAAAAUCAAAGGGCGUUGCCUGAUAUGAAAGAGGAAAAAAAAAAA